AUUGAACGCUGGCGGCAGGCCUAACACAUGCAAGUCGAGCGAGCGGCGGACGGGUGAGUAAUGUAUGGGGACUGCCCGAUAGAGGGGGAUAACUACUGGAAACGGUAGCUCAUACCGCAUACUAUCGGAUAACCCAUAUGGGAUUAGCUAGUAGGUUAGGUAAUGGCUCACCUAGGCGACGAUCCCUAGCUGGUCUGAGAGGAUGAUCAGCCACACUGGGACUGAGACACUGCCCAGACUCCUACGGAGGCAGCAGUGGGGAAGAUUGCAAAAUGGGCGAAAGCCUGAUGCAGCCAUGCCGCGUGUAUGAAGAAGGCCUUAGGGUUGUAAAGUACUUUCAGGCGGGAGGCGUUACCGGCAGAAGAAGCACCGGCUAACUCCGUGCCAGCAGCCGCGGUAAUAC
rnacentral:rRNA from 1 species